rnacentral:tRNA from 1 species
GCCUCUAUAGCUCAGUGGUAGAGCACUGGUCUCGUAAACCAAAACCAGUUCAAUCCUCACUAGAGGCA